rnacentral:tRNA from 1 species
GGGUCCGUAGCCGUAGGCUGAAGUACGGGUACCCAUCCUGACCUGCCCCGAUGUACUUCGGCGUACUGUCGUGGACCCCCCUCAGGCGGACUUUUAAUCCGCGGGUUCGGGGUUCGAUCCCCCGACGGCCCACCA